rnacentral:lncRNA from 1 species
CCCACAUGCACUCAAUCAUAACAGAGUGAACGGUUCUCAGCCCAUCCCGGUUCUCAGCCCAUCCCGUGUGACAGAGGGGUGACCCCUGACUCACAAACCAAUCUCCACAGGAGGGUCCACCUGCCCCUCCUGAUGGCGAAGGGCCUUCACACUUCCUGGGCCCACACAGUACAGUAAGGUCAUCUCUGUAAGAGUCACAGCUCAGGAGCCUGAAGAUGGAGAGUCAGGGCCCAUGAUCACCGUGUUCCAGCCCCUCAGGCUGCUGUGAUCCCUUCCAGAAACGCGCCCCUCACCACGUGCCCCUUCCUCACUUUGCUUUCCCAUUAAAGCUCAGUUUGGACAACAAAGGUCUGUGCGUCCUCCCCCAGCCGCCAUGUCCUCUGCUGUGGUCUCUGUGGUCUGGGAUCCAUCACACCUGAGGUCUCGCCUGCGUGCAGACCUCAUGCAGGUCAGCCCCAUGGGCCAUCCUCACCAAGGCCUUGAUCACUGCCCUCCCUGGAAUAUUCACUGGUCGGGGAAGGACACCUUACAACAUCAGACCCCAGGUCUCCCAGCCACAGAGACAUCACUAUGGGGACCCAGGAGAGCACUGGAAGUUGGUGCAAGGGCAGGUAGGGAUGUGGCUUGACCCACUUCUGCCUCUUCCCUUCAAGAAACAGGGGGCCUGGCCUCUGACAAAGGAGGGGUUACAACCUCCUGCACCUGAGCACUUCAGGAAAGGUGGAAAUUCCCAUCAUUUCCCAGGACUUCCUUUGGCAAAGUGCCCUCUGCAUUCUGGGAGCCAGGUGAAGAGAGGGGGCCCCUUGACUGCGGAGGGGCUGGCUGAGAUCGCCAUUGCCCACAGCUCUGUUUUCAUCCAGUGUUUGUAUCCUGGGGCCCUACCGAUAUGGUGUCAGCGAUUUCAAAGGGAAAUUGUCCUCUCAUGUGAUGAUGAAAACUGCAACGUUUGGUGGUAAAGGAUCCUUGGACCGUGAACUUUACAACAGGAUCUGAGCACUUAUAUUUCCUCUGCUUUUGGCAGAGAGGAGCUGAGGUGACUGCAGGUGUCUAUUUGAACUUUAUACACUGAGUUAAGACGUGGGUACAUUAGUUUUAUCUGACGGAUGGUCUACUUUACAGACAGCAAUAUGCUUUUCAUGUAUAUCAAAAUGUUUUUCCUCAUUUCCUGGAUGAAGCAGGAGGCAAUUUUUUCUGAUCUUCACUAUGAAGACCACGUUGGGCUGCUGAAGGGAGCAUUCAUGAAUGUGGGGGGCCCCUAAGACUGGCCCCUCCCUAGAGUUUUUAACUCUCAAGAUAAUCCAUACUGUGUGUCUAGCAAUUCACCUCUUGUUAUGUUGAUGUGUUCCUAGAAAGUUGCUUGCUC